AAACAGCUAAAUUAUUAAAGGCAUAUCUAAUUCAGUUAGUUAAGAUUUGGAUUCCCGAGAUUUAUGGAACCUUUAAAAAAACUAAUUUUUAAAAACAGAUGGACAGACAUAAACUUUUUUCAACAACCGCGAAAAAAUAAUGACGAAUAUGCCUCUUCACGGAUUCAUUUGACCAAUUAUAAUACAGUGUAACGAAUGUAAGCAUUGCAUCCAUAACUUCAGGGCUAUUUAUUUACCUGUGUGAAGGCAAUCAUCCACAUAAAAUCUAAAUAAAGAACUAAAAGUCGCGGUCCCAGUGCACAGUGGAGCAGAAUCGAAAUUUUUUGAAAUAAAUCUGGCAUUUAUAAACGGCUGAUAAAUGCAGUACGACAGACAACUGUCCAAAUAAUAAAUAAAUGCUUAAGAAAGUGAAGGAAUGUAAACCAAAACAAGGUAUUACUCUAUUUAUUAAAAGUAAUAAAAUGAGGACACAUUUUUCUGUGCCGUUUAAAGUAAGUCAUUUUAUUGUUCUGUUGGCACUAUAUGAUAAAUUGAUAUAUAACCUAUUGGGAUUACAAAAUAUUUUUUGCAUCUUUUUGCAUACCCCAUACACAUUUUUUCAAAAGUUCAUCAUGAACUCGCAAAUGUCGAAUCAACAAAUUUUCGAUGUUUGGCAUUACUUAAAGAGCAGGAUAUUUAUAAUGACGACUCUGAUUUGGAAUAAAUAAUGUAAAUUAAAUGUUUAUGUACUUACCUACUAUUGUAUUAUUCUGUAACAAAUAUUAAAUUAAUAAAAAAUAAAAAUAUAUUUUUUGACCAGCUAUACAUUUUUUUCAGUGUAGUAAGGCUCGAGUAUUUUUAAAUAUGGGUUUAUCCUAAUGGGUUUGCCCUAAAAAAUCUCCUGGCCAUAACUUUUAAUCUUUCCUUGGGGCAAUCUUAGCAUAUUUAUUCUUACUGUUACAUGGGAGGUGGGCGUGUCAGUUGUCCGAUUUCGCCCAAUUUUUCUAAAAAGAUGCGACAUUUCGUGGCUUUACCAUUAAUAGUUUUUGAAAUACAGAGUUUAGUCCCCCUAAAAUGGCAAAA